AAAAACCAAAAAUGUCAUUUUAAGGACUAAGGUGCGCCUGACCCAGGCCAUGGUAUUUUCAAUCGUCUCAUAUGCAUGCAAAACCUGGAAAAUGAAUGAGGAAGACUGGAGAGGAAUUGAUGCCUUCGAAUUAAGGUCUUGGCCAAGAAUAUUGAAUAUACCAUGGACUGCCACAAGAACGAACAAAUCUGUCUUGGAAGAAGUACAGCCAGAAUGCUCCUUAGAAGGAAGGAUGGUGAGAUUUUCUUACGCACUUUGGACAUGUUAUCAGGAGGCACUGGUCCCUCGAGAAGGACAUCUUGCGUGGUAAAGUAAAGGGUUGGUGAAAAGAGAGAGACCUUUAAGAAGAUGGGUUGACACACUGAGUGCAAUACUAGUCUCAAAGAUAGCAGCCUUUGUGAGGAUGGCGCAGGAUCGGCAGUGUUUCCAUCUGUACAAAGGGGCGCCGUGAGUCAGAAUCCACUGGAUAGCACAUAACAACAAAAACACAAGUAGAUGAGUUGAACUGGGGGAAUCACCACCCUGCAUCCUUCAAGUCUUUGAUGGUGGCAGUUAUCUCUAUAAUUCCUCCAGGAAUGCGGUACUGCUUUUGGUUUACUAUUUUCCUAGAUAGGCAGUUCUAAUGGUUUCCCCUUGGCUUUUCCUACCAUAAUAGCCCUUACUCCACUUGUCUGGAAUCCACAAAGGUAGUUCUGCAAGUUGUUGGGUAUUCCAAUUCCAAUUAUGUGUUUAGGAACUGGGGAAAUCACUACGUGAUGGAUUCAGGGACCCACUGAAUCCACUGUGAAAUGAACCAGAGCUAUGGCUCCAUUAAGAACCUGACUUCCGUACAACCGCUUUCUGACCGGUGGGCCACAGUGACAUCUAGGGUCUCCUGGAUUCAGUGUCAGUUCAGAGGCAGUAUCCAGUAAUUCUUACGCUUGUACAGAUCAAGUAACUACUCGAUAGACUUCCCAUCUAUUUCACUCCUAGGGACACCAUGACUAAGUAGCCAAUGCCAUGAGUCCAUAGGAGUCAGGCUACUCUCAUUACUGCUUUGACUCCACUGUCCAUUAUGUGAACCACACCUACCUUGUUCUUGUCCAUUGAGUCACCCGCAUGGCCCCUAACACCGUGGGGUCCAAUCAGCCCCAUUGUAGUUUGGUGUCUUAAUUCAGUUAGGGCAUCUCCCAUUGUGAGAUCUGACUUCCAUAAAAGAACAAUCACAGCAGUCUUCAAGGAUGCUGGGGCUCCCUUCACAAAUUUAUUCCUCACCAUUGCGGUAAAAGGUGUGUCCUCUGAGCAUUCCAUGUGUGGGUCUGUGGGUCUAAGCCGAGAAAUCCACUCUAACAUGCCAGUUUCCCUAAGCCUUUGGAUACCUUCUUCUACUGUGAAAUCAAGGCGGGUCUGGCACUUCAGCUGGGUUUAGUGUGGGCCACCGCUUAAUCUGUGCUUCACUGAAUCAGUCACAUAAACUAUUAAAUCCUUUCCUAAGCUCUCUAGCUGAAACACUGGAUGAAGGAUCUGUGCUUAGUGGACCCAUAUCAAUGAACUCAGGCUGAGGCAACUUUAUGUUCCUUGCACCAUUAUCCCACACCCAUAAUAGCAAUUCCCACACGUAGUCUCCAGGCUUUUGUUUGUAUGUAUUAGAAAAGUCAAGCAGUUCUUUUUCUUUUGGAGUGUAGUGUACCUCCCCCUGGAUCACAUUUUGUGCUUUACCUUUGAGGAUAGCAGGGACUUCAGUCUAGUUAUAGGCCUAGAAGCAACAAUGGGUGUUGGGAAUGUGUCUGGAGAACAUUCAGCAAUGUCUUGUAAGACAUCUGCCUUAAGGGAUGAUGCCCCAGGCAGUGACUCAGACAUCACCCUAGUGGACGACUGAGACAAAGGCUCUUCAGACACAACUGGGUUAAUCUCAGCAGAUGGGGGUCUGAGGGGCUAACAGUUUUCCUGGGGAGGGUGGUUUAGCAGCCAAACAUGGAGUAAUCCCUUCAGGCGGGAGCUGCUAUUUGGUGAUGGCCUUGCUAUUCCUCAAUGAAACUCAUUUUCUUUCACUCCUAAUAGAGUGUGGGAUUUUGUUCUUCAACAACACAAACAAACAGAAAACAUGACCAGAGCCUUUGCAGCAGCAAAUUAGCUAGGAGAAGAUUAUAAUGUAAUGCUUUCAAGUUCUGAUUUAAAGUAGAAUUCUAACCCAGACAAAAUGUGAGGGCAAUCAAGGCAUUUCCAGACAAGUAAGUAAGAACUUAAACAUCUACUUGCAAGGCAUGCACCUUGAGGAAACUGUUGGAGAAAGGAAAUCAGCACAAAGGACUGAUGAGAAAAAAAAAAAAAAAAAAGACUGUUUAGGCAUAGAAAAUAAAAACAGGCAUCUGAUCUGUCUGUAAAGAGACUAAAGUAACUCUAAGCGCUCAAUGUAGUCUUUCACCUUAGGUUUGGCGUUGGCUGUCUAGCAGCUCCAGGUAAGCUUUCCCCCAGGUUCUACCCUCCUUCCCUAGGAAUCAACCCAUCACCAUGAAGGAAAUGAGUUGCUUUGCGGAUCAAGCUAAAGAAUGUGAAGACUUAAGGCAAACUUUUGGUAUCAGCCUCCUCAGGUUUCUGACAUGCCCAGCAAAGUGAGAGAUCAUGGAAACUCCUUGUUUCCAUUCUCAUCUGGAGAGCUAACAUUCUGAGCAACGUGAUUGUUAACCAACCAGUCUUGAGAAUAUCCGUCCUGUGGCUGCUUUGUAACCAAGGUGAAACCCCCUUGACCUCCUGUCUUUCAAUUGUGUCUUGUAGCCAGUCAAUCGGCUCACGUAAGCAAUAAUGACAACGAUUGUGCUUUACUUGUCGCGUCUUUGAUUGACCUUCGUCACUGUGAACCAACAAGAAAAACUGUAAUUUUAUUCUCCCCCUUCAGCACUCUGAUUACUCCUGAUUUGCCUUCUUCCCGUGAGAUUCCGGAACGUCAGCCUGAGACUUUGCGAUCUCCCACUGCCACGUCUCCGCUGCAAUAAAUCUCUUUCGAUUUUACCUUAAGGGAGCUGGGAAGUCUUUUCUCUCCAACAUUUUGGCGUAGUUAAUCGGCAGGGUUUUUGGAGUUACCCUUCCCCCGGAGACCCGAAGACCUGAAACACGGGAUUCCGGCACCAAGGGCCCCUUUGUGUGCCCCUCGCUGCAGCUUUUUCGGACCCUUCUGGCUGUCUGGGGGGAGAAGGGAGCAGAGAGACUGGAGGACUUCAUUACCACCAAGCAGAAGAGCCAGGAGCAUUUGCUUUGAACCAGGGGCCCCUGCACUGAGAAGCUGCUAGAUCUGGGGAAGACUGAUGACAAGGACCUUCUCCCAGAGCCAACAGAGAGAGAAAGACUUUCCUAGGAGCUGACGCCCUGAAUUCAGACUUCUAGUCUCCUAGACUGUGAGAGAAUAAAUUACUCUUUGUAAAAGCCA